UGGAGUGCAAUCAGCUAGGUCAGCCAAUUAAGAAAGCUGUCUGCUUAUUGACUUCAUUUUUGGGGACUGUUGCUCAGAGGUCUCAGCUAUGUCCGUUGGGCUAUGCAAAAUGGAAUGAUAUGCUUCCAACGUACAAAGUUGAGCUCCUCCGAGUUAUAGAGAGCAAGUUUGUUCUCCCUCCAUCCACUCAUGAUUUUGUAAUGAAGUCUCUCAACCGCAAAU